CUGCUUUCAAUUAGGCAGAAAUACAUCUUGUUUAAAAGCCAAGUUCUCUUGGACUAGCCUUUCCUUGUAAUACUGCAACUUGUCGUGUGAUGACAAUCUACAAAUAAUCACAAAAAUAAGAAGCCAAUAGGAGACCAACAUGGCUGAAGAAUUAAACAAGAUGAGGUGUUCUCUGCUAAGUCUGACAAAUGGCAUUUUUAGGGAGAAAUACAUGAACAGAAAAUGACAACUGCUCUCUGGGGACCCUUAGCCAGAGGUCUCAGGGCAUGAUCUGCUUAACUUUGCACAUGAGGACCAGAGGCCUCACAACUCCCUCGGAACCAUCUGACACUCCACUUUGUUAAUGCCAAUUAUAAGCUAGACCAGUAGUUUUCAGAGGAUUAUUUUUAUCUGGAGGUACUUCACUGAAAACAAAUAUUAAGUGGAAACCCAAGAAGUACAAUGGACCAGAGUGGA
rnacentral:lncRNA from 1 species